GACGAACGCUGGCGGCGUGCUUAACACAUGCAAGUCGAACGGGAUUUAGUAGACAGAAGCCUCGGCUAAAGAUUACUAAUGAGAGUGGCGAACGGGUGAGUAACGCGUGAGCAACCUGCCUAUGACAGUGGGAUAGCCUCGGGAAACCGGGAUUAAUACCGCAUAAAAUCGUAGAAACACAUGUUUUAACGGUCAAAGAUUUAUCGGUCAUAGAUGGGCUCGCGUCUGAUUAGCUAGUUGGUGAGAUAACAGCCCACCAAGGCGACGAUCAGUAGCCGGUCUGAGAGGAUGAACGGCCACAUUGGAACUGAGACACGGUCCAAACUCCUACGGGAGGCAGCAGUGAGGAAUAUUGCACAAUGGGGGAAACCCUGAUGCAGCGACGCCGCGUGAACGAAGAAGGUAUUCGUAUCGUAAAGUUCUGUCCUAUGGGAAGAUAAUGACAGUACCAUAGAAGAAAGCUCCGGCUAAAUACGUG
rnacentral:rRNA from 1 species